rnacentral:ncRNA from 1 species
CCAAAGGCUCUUUUAAGAGCCACCCACAUGUCCUUCAAAGAGUCA